AGGGCCUGGGGGGACACUUGGAGCAGCCCCAGGGCCCCAGGAUGGUUUUGCCAGGAGAAAAGGGAUGUGACCAACAUCUCAGGGACCAGCCUGCUGCAGCACCCGGGCAGCUGUACCCAUGGCAGGUAACAUGGCACUGGGAUUUUGCUCUGCUGCAGCCUCCUGCAGCUGCAGAUGGCACUUGCUGUGUCACUGCCUCACUAGGCUGUGGUCUGAAGGCAUCUCUGUUGCUUCCAAGCUUGAUUAUGGACUUCAGUGGGGGAAUUGGGGCAAGCUUUAAUUUUUCCAUAGCUCAAUGGUCCUUUGUCUUCUCAGACAGUGACACAGUGAAUUUCCACCUCCCAGCUAUGUCAUUGCCAAGGACCACUGGCCUUACUCUGCUCCAUGAAAAGAACUCUGUCAGCACAGCAAGGAUAUCAGCACUUCCAUUUUCCUGGACUUUUGCAGUCCUAUUUUGCUCCCUUUGCUUGAACUCCUGGGUGGCAGGACCUCUCCUAACUCGUGAAGUUCAUUGUCUGCAGGAUGCAACAGGACACCCAAGGGAGGAGCAUGCAAAAGUGUAAAACAGCUCAAUCAUCUGCAGGAACAGCACAAAUCAGAGGGGCUGUGACCAAGGAAGAUCUGG